rnacentral:rRNA from 1 species
UACGUAGGGUGCGAGCGUUGUCCGGAAUUAUUGGGCGUAAAGAGCUCGUAGGCGGUGUGUCACGUCGAUCGUGAAAACUUGGGGCUUAACUCUGAGCUUGCGGUCGAUACGGGCAUCACUGGAGUUCGGCAGGGGAGACUGGAAUUCCUGGUGUAGCGGUGAAAUGCGUAGAUAUCGGGAGGAACACCUGCGGUGUAGACGGCUUACUGGACCGUGACUGACGCUGAGGCACGAAAGCGUGGGUAGCAAACAGG